UGCAUUUGAAAACUGUCUCUAUUUUCUACAGAGAGAUGAGGGAGAUACAGCAAAAGGAGGAAGGGAGAGAAGGAAAGAGUGAACUUUGAUCCAGCCCAGUUGGAAUGGAAGCCAGACUACCCAUCACUCAAAUGGCCUUCCAGCCUGUUACUUCUCAGUCAGACUUCUUCGAUGGACCACUAGAUAGACCCAGUUUUUAAAAGGGGAACUGAUGAACCCAGCCUAAUUCCAUCUUA
ensembl:lincRNA